GAACAGGAAACACAGUUUUACGUCUUGAAUAAUAUUUACUUUGACUGAUGUAAGUGGAAUUGAUAUCAGUAACUUUGAAUGCUAAGAUGUUUCUCAGAUGUUCAAAACUUCUUUGAUGGUGUGAAGACCUGAAACUCUGAUAUGACUAUGUGCUAAUUCCGACAAAUAAGCAUUUUGGCAACUUCACUGGAACAUUUUUCAUUAUGUUUGAUGAUCCGAGAAGAUCCAAAACAAGGUGAAAUCAGUGGAGAGGCAUUUUCAUGUGAAGGCACUGGAAACAACUGCAUAGAUGAGCUCAUUGCUCUGGAUUUGAAAUGCAAUAUCUCUGCAAUUGCACACUGUGAUAUACAGGAUUAAACCGAUAUUAUCAUUUGGAGCAUAGGACUAUGUUAAUAUAGAAAAACCAUCUCUACAAGUAAAUUUUCCAGGUGCUUGGAGCUGUUGCACCAUCGAAAAAAGGAAUAAUUAACGUAUCAUAAAAAACAAUUCCGCUUCUAAUAUGCAAAAACAUAAAAACUCUGCCACCAAUGCACCGAAUUUCAGCCACUCUACGGCAAGACAGAGUUGUAGUGGUGUAGAAGACAUUAAGCCCUUAGAAAGGAAAUCCUCAUACGUGGCCAUUCCUGUGGAUUCUGAAAAUGACGAUGUUGAAGAAUUUGAUCAUUUAGAUGAACUUAUAAUUUAUUUAGUGAGCUUUCUCAGGCGUCUUCGAAAGACAUAUAUACUUUUAAAAGGAAGUGAAGACAAAAAUUAAAGUGUCCAUUCUUGCGAUUUUUCUGUCAGAGAAACUAAGAAAAAGAUUUUAAAAAAUUCUCAACUGUAAGGCAAUGAAUAUAAUUAUCAAAUGCAUUCAUGUAUUAAAAAAUCUUCACAAGUAUACCCUGAACUAUUUGCUUACAAGCACGGAAUUUUGCUUCUAUAAUCUCCUGUAAUAUUGCCGUGUAUCAACGCGCAAUAAAAAUUUUUUUUUUUUACUAUUUAUUUCACAAUAAAAGGGACAGGAAUUUUAUAGGGUUUUUUUUUUCAUUGUAUAUCAGAAUAAAUGUAAUAUUUUGUAAUAAAUAAAUAAAUAUAAA
rnacentral:lncRNA from 1 species